GCUGCCUCUGACACGGGUCAUGUGGUUCUCCCAGGUGUUCCACAUGUAUGCAGGUGCCUGAGGCGGUCAGAACAAGUCUCUGGAGCUGGAGUUACAGGCAGUUGUGAGCCACUUGGAAACUGAAACCGGGUCCUCUGGAAGAGCAUCGUGAGCUCUUAGCCUCUGAGUCAUCUCUCCAGCCCCACAAGCAUCGAACGUUAAUUUAACCAAGCAUGGCUCAUCAAAAAUGUAUUAGAAGUAGAGACAGGGAAUGCUCAGCUGCUUGGAUGAUAUCUGAGGGAGCAGAGGCUGUGGAGGAAAUAGAGAAGGAAACACUUCCAGAGCACGUGGGAACUAAGAACACCCCAAAUGGAGAAGCGCCUGUGUCCAUGGCACCCUGUUAUUUGGGGACCUGGUGGCUUCUGCCUCUCUCCUGGGAUAGAGAGAGUCCUCUCUAGUCAUAAAAUCAUGUGAUGAACCGUAGACUGGGAUCAGAUGGUAACCCUUCCACUACCACAUCUGCUCACAUGAAAGCAAAGUGCUGGUACCCUUAAGUGCACCGCAUGUCU
rnacentral:lncRNA from 1 species